AAAUUGAAGAGUUUGAUCAUGGCUCAGAUUGAACGCUGGCGGCAGGCCUAACACAUGCAAGUCGAGCGGCAGCGGAAAGUAGCUUGCUACUUUGCCGGCGAGCGGCGGACGGGUGAGUAAUGUCUGGGGAUCUGCCUGAUGGAGGGGGAUAACUACUGGAAACGGUAGCUAAUACCGCAUGACCUCGAAAGAGCAAAGUGGGGGACCUUCGGGCCUCACGCCAUCGGAUGAACCCAGAUGGGAUUAGCUAGUAGGUGGGGUAAUGGCUCACCUAGGCGACGAUCCCUAGCUGGUCUGAGAGGAUGACCAGCCACACUGGAACUGAGACACGGUCC
rnacentral:rRNA from 1 species